AAAUAUAGAUGUUUACAAUCUCGUAUAAUCAUCGGGGAUAUGGCCCGAAAGUUUCUACCCAAAAGCCGUAAAGUUUUGGACUACGAGAGCGAAGCGAGGGGAU
rfam:Paenibacillus sp. HGF7 contig00070, whole genome shotgun sequence.